rnacentral:misc_RNA from 1 species
CGAAAAAUGGAGGCAAAUCUCCGAAAUGGUUGAGGUUGGGCUCAAUGAAAGGAUUGGAAUCAAAGCAGCAAGAUUUGAAGAAAGAAGAUACAGUGUAGAGGGUGACAUCGAGAUGUGUAGUGUUGUCUAUAUCUAAAUAAAAUAUUUGGAAACUCAUGUGGAAACAAAUUAAGCCAGUCUUGGAGUUUGACUAUAAGGUCUGUUUGAGUUAGAAGAAAGAAAUAUAUAUAUCAUAAGGCUGGAACCAGAUCACAUUACUAAAAAUAUAUAGUAAUGAUAGGGAUAGCCAAGACAGCAUCAAAGAUUGGAAUAGAAACAUCAAAUUUGUAGUUUAUUCAACCCAUGUUUAAAGAUACUAUUAACUAGGCAUUGACAUGCAAAAGGAUAUGAAAUAAAUGUGUUCAAGGGCACCAAAAUAUGGGUAAUGGAG